AGAGUUUGAUCAUGGCUCAGGAUAAACGCUGGCGGCGCACAUAAGACAUGCGAGUCGAACGAACUUAACCAUUAGUUUACUAUUGGAGCGGUUAGUGGCGGACUGGUGAGUAACACGUAAGCAACCUGCCUAUCAGAGGGGAACAACAGUUAGAAAUGACUGCUAAUACCGCAUAUGCCUUAGAAUCACAUGGUUCAAAAGGGAGAGGAGCAAUCCACUGAUAGAUGGGCUUGCGU
rnacentral:rRNA from 1 species